UUUGUGGAUUAAAUUUUUGUUCGGACAUCUUGUUUUAUCACAUCUUUAGCAAAAUUGUCAGGUAUGAACGGAGAGUGACGAUUGGUAGGAAACGGAAGAUUCCAAAGAAACGUAAACAGAAGUUACAGAUGACUGUCUAUAAGUCAGAGAAUAUUCAAGUUGGAUCCUGCAGUAAAAUGUUGUCACCGUUGAAUGUAAAUGUUAAUGCCGUUGAGGUAGAAGAAGCGCCCACUGACACUUUCAGAGAAAUUACUCCAGAAAUGAUACACGAGGCUCUAAGAAGAUUAACUAUGUGGAGGCAAAAUGUUGAAACGGGUGCAAUAUAUGACUUUAUUCAAAGAAAUUACCCAGUAAAUCAGGAUAAGGAAGCAUUGGGUAUAGAACUUUUGGAAAAACUCGAAGUAGCCGUUUUAGUCGAAUAAUAAUAAUCAUUUAUAAAGAAUACUUGAGCGCACUGUAGACAUAUCUUCAAAUAUUCAGGAAUCGCAAAACAAACAUCAACCGACACUUGGACUUUAUGUGGUGCUUUGGAAAGGCCAAAGUUUAAUGACACACAUGUCACUUUAUUCUGGAAAGUCUACAGGGACACCAUGACUCCAUUAAAAAAGCCAAAUAAGACAAUGGAAACUUCGAAAAGUACAAGUGAGAAGCGAACACUGCGUGUUUACGAUGUCGAUAUAUUGUGAUUUUUUAUUUAUUAAACUUUGUAAGGGAUUGUGUCCCAUGAGACAAUGUUUUUAGAUAUUAAACCAAAAAGUACAGUUAA